CAUUUUCUCUUGUUAAUUGAAGUCUGAAAUAAGUGUAAAUGGAAUCUUUACUUUAAAAUAUAAUUUUGAAAUAUCUAAUAUUAGCGUUAUGUUGUAUUUAAAAGAAAAGGUAGAGCCACUACCGUUCAUCCCAACGCACAAGCCACAUAACACCGUUCCUACCAAAAUAAAAACAAUAAAAAAAAAAACGCCAGCACCAGAAAUUUAUCGC